rnacentral:lncRNA from 1 species
UUUCUUUAAACGUUAAUACUAUAUACUUACUUCAACCUACAAAUGAGGGGAAACAAGGUUUAGCAGGUUCAGUUAAGGAUGAUGGUAGGAUACAUACAUUGAAAUAGGUUAUAUAUAUAUUCUCCUGAUUUAAGACAUAGGUCAAUGGUUUCACCUACAAAUGAUGAUAAUAUUAAUAUUCUAAGAAUGAACAAUGGUGUUCUGUUCGUGAUGAAAGAUG